ACCUUUUUUUAUUGAAGCUCUUUGCUGAAAUUGAAGAAGGUUGGAUUAUGUCUAAGUAUUUGUAAUAGGGCUAGCAGCGUAUACACAAGAAGAAGAAACAAGGCAGGGCGUGGUGGCACACGCCUGAUCCAGCACUUGGGAGGCUGAGGCAGGAGGAUUGCUAUGAAU